rnacentral:rRNA from 1 species
GGCGAGUGAACCGGGAAGAGCUCAAAUUUGAAAUCUGGCGUCCUCAGGGCGUCCGAGUUGUAAUCUAUAGAGGCGUUUUCCGUGCCGGACCGUGUCCAAGUUCCUUGGAACAGGAUAUCAAAGAGGGUGACAAUCCCGUACUUGACACGAUGACCGGUGCUCUGUGAUACGUCUUCUACGAGUCGAGUUGUUUGGGAAUGCAGCUCAAAAUGGGUGGUGAGUUCCAUCUAAAGCUAAAUAUUGGCGAGAGACCGAUAGCGAACAAGUACCGUGAGGGAAAGAUGAAAAGCACUUUGGAAAGAGAGUUAAACAGUACGUGAAAUUGUUGAAAGGGAAACGAUUGAAGUCAGUCGUGACUGAGAGGCUCAGCCGGUUCUGCCGGUGUAUUCCCCUCAGUCGGGUCAACAUCAGUUUUGUCCGGUGGAAAAGGGCAGCAGGAAGGUAGCACCUCCGGGUGUGUUAUAGCCUGCCGUCGCAUACAUCGGGUGAGACUGAGGAAUGCAGCUCGCCUUCAUGGCCGGGGUUCGCCCACGUUCGAGCUUAGGAUGUUGACAUAAUGGCUUUAAACGACCCGU